CUCGAAUUCAAAGAAGAUGACAGCGAGAGCGU
rnacentral:sRNA from 1 species